rnacentral:lncRNA from 1 species
GAGAGAUAUGAUGGAGUCCUUGUCUAGGUCAAAUACCUAGUCAAGGCUUAUCCAAACAUGGCAAGUUAAGGGGCGCCCAACUCUUGAGCACCUCCUCCUUAAUUUUGUGCAUGGAAUAUCAUAAAAUGGUGCACAAUAUGUAUCCUAAAAGCCACAAAAAUUCCAAAAAAUAUUUAGAUAAAUUUGGUGCAAAAUUGAAAGAGUUUUGGAUUUCUAAAACUCUAUCUCAUAGAAUUCGAAAUCCAAACUUAUUCCUUUUUGAUUUGAUCCAAACCACCUUCCAUGUAAGAAAGAAGAGAGGAGACCUUUUGUGAAUGUGGGAGAGACCUGGGAGAGGACUUUUGUCGCACAAAAUAAGAGGAGAUUGGCGUUGAAUGAGAGAGAGGGCGUGGGGAAGGCUUAUGUGGUGCAACGUGGAAUCCUAGUCUUACUAGGAUUCUAUCUUAUGACUUGUUUUAAUUUGGUUUCCCAAACCAAAUCAAAUCAAAAUUAGAUCAACCUAAUUAAAAUAGGUCUUAAUCUAAUUAAGAACCUAAUUUAAUCAGAUUAAAUUAGAUUUAAAUCUGAUUUAAUUUUCUAAUCAAAUUAGAAAUUAGAUUGACUCAAGUCCUAGUUGAACUAGGACUAGUUUUUUCUUGCACUUGGCUUAUCCAAUAAAUCAAUUGGACUUGAUCCAAUCAAGUACAAACUAAAUCUAAUUAAAUUAUAUUUAAUUAGACUUAAUCUUAGCCCAUUGGCUUAAUCAAAUUAAGCCAAUUAGUAAUUGAAUUGCUAAUCGAUCCUCCUGCAACACUUGCACUGGGUUAAAUGUUAAUCGUAUUGAUCAUUUAACCCUAGAACGAUUCUUAAUCGUUGAUCAACC